AACGCACAUUGCGCCUCUCGGUAUUCCGGGAGGCACGCCUGUUCGAGCGCCAUUACACACCCCAAGCUCAGCUUGAUGUUGGACGCUGUCUGUGAAAGGACAGGUCUGGAACGCGUGGGCGCCGCCGCCGGACCACGAGCGUAGCAAGACGCAAGUCAAUCGCUCUGUGGGCUUCCUCGGUGGACGGCCGUCUAGAUGUGGGGGUAACACCCUGCGUCGAAAACACAUAACCAAGGUUUGGCCUCGGAUCAGGCGGGGAUACCCGCUGAACUUAA
rnacentral:misc_RNA from 1 species